UACGGGGGGUGCGAGCGUUGUCCGGAUUCACUGGGUUUAAAGGGUGCGUAGGUGGGCAGGUAAGUCAGUGGUGAAAUCUCUGAGCUUAACUCAGAAACUGCCGUUGAUACUAUCUGUCUUGAAUAUCGUGGAGGUGAGCGGAAUAUGUCAUGUAGCGGUGAAAUGCUUAGAUAUGACAUAGAACAUCAAUUGCGAAGGCAGUUCGCUACACGAUUAUUGACACUGAGGCACGAAAGCGUGGGGAUCAAACAGG
rnacentral:rRNA from 1 species